NNNNGUGGCCAGACCACCCUGAAUGCACCCAAUCUCAUGGGAUCUCAGAAUCUAAGCAAGGUCGAGCCUGGUUAGUACGUGGCGGGGAAAACUGCAUUUCCCUGGCUUCAUUUACU
ensembl:rRNA 5S_rRNA 5S ribosomal RNA